UCUUAUGGACAAGCAAUCAAAGUGGUUUCUUGAGAUGGAAUCUACUCCUGGUAAAGAUGCUGUGAA
rnacentral:pre_miRNA from 1 species